AUUGAACGCUGGCGGCAGGCCUAACACAUGCAAGUCGAACGGUAACAGGAAGCAGCUUGCUGCUUUGCUGACGAGUGGCGGACGGGUGAGUAAUGUCUGGGAAACUGCCCGAUGGAGGGGGAUAACUACUGGAAACGGUAGCUAAUACCGCAUAACGUCGCAAGACCAAAGAGGGGGACCUUAGGGCCUCUUGCCAUCGGAUGUGCCCAGAUGGUAUUAGCUAGUAGGUGGGGUAACGGCUCACCUAGGCGACGAUCCCUAGCUGGUCUGAGAGGAUGACCAGCCACACUGGAACUGAGACACGGUCCAGACUCCUACGGGAGGCAGCAGUGGGGAAUAUUGCACAAUGGGCGCAAGCCUGAUGCAGCCAUGCCGCGUGUAUGAAGAAGGCCUUCGGGUUGUAAAGUACUUUCAGCGGGGAGGAAGGGAGUAAAGUUAAUACCUUUGCUCAUUGACGUUACCCGCAGAAGAAGCACCGGCUAACUCCGUG
rnacentral:rRNA from 1 species